UUGUUUUUGAACACACAAAGAAAAGUUGGGUGCAGGCUGGUUCGUGACGGAAAAAAGAAAAAAAAAGGGCUGGGCAGGGGAUAGAUCCCGGAAGGCGAUGGAGGGCGAGGCAAUUGGUUCGGCGGCGAAGGCCUUCGGCAGCCAUGCGCGCCGCCUGCGAGUUUCCCCUAGACCUCGUGUGCAGUUGGGGGCGUCGCCCCGCGGCUCUGUUCAUGGUGAAGGGAGCGAGAUCGAAGGCUGUCGGGAAGCCAGACUGCGAGAAUCUUCGGUGGCUGCUCACGACAGCUGUGGCGACCCUGGUGGCGAGGGGAGCAGAGACAACGCUGCUGCUGAGUCCAGCGAGUCGGCGGUAAAGAGCAAAUCCGAAGGCGCUGGAGUGUAUUAGAAGGGAUCGUGUGGGAGCAAAUCCAACAGAGCAGGCACCAUGCCCUGGUAGGAUGGGUGACCUAGAGAAGUCCAUAUGGGGGUUUGCAGAACGAGAUGGGGACAAAGUGGUGAAACCAGAAUUGGGCACCACAUUCGACUCUGUACAAUUUCCCCUGUCUUUGCGACCAAAUCAUCUGAGAGAGAGGAGCUUCGGGCUUGUUACAAUUUCAUAACUGCAAUGUACCACCUCAGUGGUUUCAGUCGACCAAGAAAGAAAAAAGAAAUCCUUGAUGUUUCUUGUAUAUCCAUGUCAUAUGCUUAGUAUAUUUUUGCUUUUGAUGAAUUGUUAGAUCAAAUGAUUCAGAUUGCACGACAUGGUUCCAGGUGUUUGGGACUAGCUGAACUUUGAUAGCUGCUGUUGGUAUUGUAUCAUGCCGAAAAUUCAAUCGAUCAUCAAUUGAGCAGUCCUCGUCAAGAACCAGCUCAAUGCGAUGGCCAUGUCGCCGCCGGACCCAACCUCAACACCCAGGUCACCACUGCCCACCAAGUUGCAGGGCUCUCCAGAGGAUUCAACAUCUUGGAGAUAUUCAAAACAAGAAGAAAGAAAUGACUCAUGUCGCCCAUGUUUAGAGCAUGUAGCCUUAUUGAGUACAUGUGGACAACUCGUAAAGUUGUAAUAGCAAUCUUUAUGCCUCGGUGUAAACUCGUCAGAAAUUUCAGCAUUGUUAGAUGUACUCGGUGUCUUUGUUUACAGUUUUUUGUCAUUUCUGUUGUUUAUUAAUGAAGCAAGUGAUGUUCACCUCUGAAGCAAAAAUGGUGCUACAGUCGUUGAUUGUAGCCUCAACCAAUGUUAUAUUAUUUUCA